GACGAACGCUGGCGGCGCGCUUAACACAUGCAAGUCGAGCGAGAACCAGUCCUUCGGGGCUGGGGACAGCGGCGAACGGGUGAGUAACACGUGGGUAAUCUGCCCUCGGCACCGGAAUAGCCCGGGGAAACCCGGAUUAAUGCCGGAUGGCCUCUCUGCCCCUCGGGGCGGCGAGAAAAGGUAGCUUCGGCCUCCGGCCGAGGAUGAGCCCGCGGCCGAUUAGCUUGUUGGUGAGGUAACGGCUCACCAAGGCGACGAUCGGUAGCUGGUCUGAGAGGACGAUCAGCCACACUGGGACUGAGACACGGCCCAGACUCCUACGGGAGGCAGCAGGGGGGAAUCUUGCGCAAUGGGCGAAAGCCUGACGCAGCGACGCCGCGUGCGGGAAGAAGGCCUCCGGGUUGUAAACCGCUUUCAGGAGGGACGAAGCCACUCGGGUUAAUAGCCCAGAGGGUGACGGUACCUCCAGAAGAAGCCCCGGCUAACUACGUGCCAGCCGCCGCUGUAA
rnacentral:rRNA from 1 species